GUGGCGGGAAGCGGGGCCCAGCACACCCCUCAGCCCACACUGCUUCCCACAGCCCCCUUUGGCCUGGGACGGCGAACCACAGCCAGUGGGAGCUGCAAUCGGCCGAACCUGUGGACGCAGCAGAUAAAUGACUGACUCCCCACUUGCUUAAAAACAAUGAUAGACAUAAGGCAGCCAGAUCAUCAAAACAAGUUGAGCCUCUCAUGUGGAGAACCUAGCUGCCUGAAGAGGAACCUUCAAAGAGGAUACAAACCCCCAUGUGCAGCAUCACGCAGCAUCUUGUACAAAGUAGUGUCUAGACACCGUGCUGAGAAUGAGGCCCUAUUGUAUCAAGCACUGUACAAACACUGAGAAAUAGUCUGCACCACAAAGAGCUUACAGUCUAAACAGACAAGCCAGACAAAAGGGAAAGAAAGAAAGGAGAACAUCAAGUCAAGAAUAGAAAAAGAUAAGAAAUGGCAGGAGAGUGGUUUCAUGAUUUACCAGAUUUAAAUGAAAAUGAAAUGAUGGACUUAAUAACAGACAUCAGAAUUUUAAAUUAUCUCAUAGAU